UGUUCUAAAAUUUCCUUUCAUCAUGCUUCGCCGCGCCAGGCGCGCCUUGCCUCGGCCAUUGUUGGUGAUGAUCUGACCUACGUGCAGGAACGAAGGCUGAGCGGCAAAAAUAUUCGAAAGAUGCAUUUUUCUUCAGAUCUUUCCAGCGUUCUUAUGCUAUUAUCGACGAUCUAAGUCAUGGACACGUCCGCAACAGCGAUGAAUGCGUGACCAUACGGCAGAGCAGCCAUGCUCAACGUACAGCGCAGGUCGACUGUGCACUCUUUUAUCGCUGCGCUUCAACGAAAUUUGGCAGGGAGUACGCCACGUGACAUGUCUGAGUCACGAUCACGAGAAACCCAGAAAGUGUCUUGGGGUAGAAGAUAAUGAUGGCUCCAGAACGCUUAACAAUCGCCCGUAGAAAACAACGCCAAACUCGGUGAGAAACAGCGCCGCCUAGUGAGGUUCAAGAAGAUUGUGGCAUCGCGUGUUUCCAUAGAAAUUGAAGACUACAAUUUCCUUCCUAGUCAUGAAGGUUAGCCAUGAAAAAAAAUCCACCCUUCCCCCCAAACACCACCAAAAUUAAACUCUGCGCCUCUUGGCAAAACAGGCCUUGAGCAAUUGGAGGGUUUUGUGAACAAAAUACAUCCCAAUUGGAACCCGCCAGUCCAAAAUUUACGAGUUAUAUAGAAAUGUCUCUAUGAUCGGUCCGACACCUCUUGCAAAUUACCUGUGGAUCACGAAAUAUUAGUGAAUUUGGGUGCAGGAAUUUAAUGUUCAACUUAUCUCACGACGACUUCCAUUGACCGAGACUGAUUUGGACGGAUAUCUGUGUUUUACCAGACAGAAAUCCAAAAAAAGACCCGCGAAAUGUAAACACUAGUACUGAUGAGUGCAAACACUACAGUGCCAUGACAACAGGCGCAUACCCUAAUCAAAUCACAGUGUCAGCAAACCUAUACAAAAUGACGGCACUUGAAACUUUGGGUGGACUUAAAGUCCACUAAAAUUUUCCAUUACAAAGAGAGAGGGAUAUGGGUAAGAUCUGAGAUUUGACUUUUUACACAAAUUUGAAUUAAACGUUUGGAAAGGCGGUGCCAUAUUAUUAAUUGGAUGUUCGACCGAAAAUUACAAGUUCCAGGGGAGGUGAGAUAGCUAAGAAACAAGGUUGCAAAACUUUAAGCUAUGAAGACAACAUGUUAUAGUUUUAUUGCAAAAAAUAUUGGUUCGAUCCCUGUCCAUCAAAAGGCCAACUUCGAGUUUAAAUUGUGUGGAAAAUCAAGUAAAACCAACAUUGUCCCACCAUGAUCAACUUUUCAGUUUUGCAUGUUAUUUACUACAUUCAAUCUCCUCCGACUCUUCCAGUUAAUAAAGAAAUAAAGUCUAUAAACACAAAGCAUUUCUUCCUGUUCUUCCUCCUUAGAUUUCCGCGCAUUUGCCUGGAAAAUUGCCUAAACCAAGCACUAAUAAAAAAAUAUUAAUCGCCGGCAUGAGAGAAUUGACAAACGGAAUUCAAAUUUCCUCCAUUUUUCAAGUU